rnacentral:rRNA from 1 species
GACGAACGCUGGCGGCGUGCUUAACACAUGCAAGUCGAACGGAAAGGCCCUGCUUUUGUGGGGUGCUCGAGUGGCGAACGGGUGAGUAACACGUGAGUAACCUGCCCUUGACUUUGGGAUAACUUCAGGAAACUGGGGCUAAUACCGGAUAGGAGCUCCUGCUGCAUGGUGGGGGUUGGAAAGUUUCGGCGGUUGGGGAUGGACUCGCGGCUUAUCAGCUUGUUGGUGGGGUAGUGGCUUACCAAGGCUUUGACGGGUAGACGGCCUGAGAGGGUGACCGGCCACAUUGGGACUGAGAUACGGCCCAGACUCCUACGGGAGGCAGCAGUGGGGAAUAUUGCACAAUGGGCGGAAGCCUGAUGCAGCAACGCCGCGUGCGGGAGGACGGCCUUCGGGUGGUAAACCGCUUUCGCCUGUGACGAAGCGUGAGUGACGGUAAUGGGUAAAGAAGCACCGGCUAACUACGU